rfam:Ricinus communis cultivar Hale ctg_1100012350181, whole genome shotgun sequence.
AAACCAUGGUGUGGAUAGCUCCUUAGUAAAUCCUUGAAACAUUACUAAAAAUCGUAUAGAGUCUCAUUCUCUUACUGGAAAAAUCCUGCUAUAUCAUUUCUCAACUU